UACGGGGGGGGUAAGCGUUGUUCGGAAUUACUGGGCGUAAAGGGCUCGUAGGCGGCCAACUAAGUCAGACGUGAAAUCCCUCGGCUUAACCGGGGAACUGCGUCUGAUACUGGAUGGCUGGAGGUUGGGAGAGGGAUGCGGAAUUCCAGGUGUAGCGGUGAAAUGCGUAGAUAUCUGGAGGAACACCGGUGGCGAAGGCGGCAUCCUGGACCAAUUCUGACGCUGAGGAGCGAAAGCCAGGGGAGCAAACGGG
rnacentral:rRNA from 1 species